rnacentral:rRNA from 1 species
AGAGUUUGAUCCUGGCUCAGAAUCAACGCUGGCGGCGUGCCUAACACAUGCAAGUCGAACGAGAAAGUGGAGCAAUCCAUGAGUAAAGUGGCGCACGGGUGAGUAACACGUGACUAACCUACCCUUGAGUGGGGGAUAACUGAGGGAAACCUUAGCUAAUACCGCAUAAUACCCACGGGUCAAAGGAGCAAUUCGCUCGAGGAGGGGGUCGCGGCCGAUUAGUUAGUUGGCGGGGUAAUGGCCCACCAAGACGAUGAUCGGUAUCCGGCCUGAGAGGGCGCACGGACACACUGGAACUGAAACACGGUCCAGACUCCUACGGGAGGCAGCAGUGGGGAAUUUUGCGCAAUGGGGGAAACCCUGACGCAGCAACGCCGCGUGGAGGAUGAAGUACUUCGGUACGUAAACUCCUUUCGAUCGGGACGAUAAUGACGGUACCGAGAGAAGAAGCCCCGGCUAACUUCGUGCCAGCAGCCGCGGUAAUACGAGGGGGGCGAGCGUUGUUCGGAAUUAUUGGGCGUAAAGGGUGCGUAGGCGGUUUGGUAAGUCUGAUGUGAAAUCUAUGGGCUCAACUCAUAGUCUGCAUCGGAAACUGCCGGGCUUGAGUGUGGGAGAGGUGAGUGGAAUUUCCGGUGUAGCGGUGAAAUGCGUAGAUAUCGGAAGGAACACCUGUGGCGAAAGCGGCUCACUGGACCACAACUGACGCUGAUGCACGAAAGCUAGGGGAGCAAACAGGAUUAGAUACCCUAGUAGUCC